rnacentral:rRNA from 1 species
AACGAACGCUGGCGGCAUGCCUAACACAUGCAAGUCGAACGAGACCUUCGGGUCUAGUGGCGCACGGGUGCGUAACACGUGGGAAUCUGCCCUUUGCUUCGGAAUAACAGUUAGAAAUGACUGCUAAUACCGGAUGAUGUCGAAAGACCAAAGAUUUAUCGGCAAAGGAUGAGCCCGCGUAGGAUUAGGUAGUUGGUGGGGUAAAGGCCUACCAAGCCGACGAUCCUUAGCUGGUCUGAGAGGAUGAUCAGCCACACUGGGACUGAGACACGGCCCAGACUCCUACGGGAGGCAGCAGUGGGGAAUAUUGGACAAUGGGCGAAAGCCUGAUCCAGCAAUGACGCGUGAGUGAUGAAGGCCUUAGGGUUGUAAAGCUCUUUUACCAGGGAUGAUAAUGACAGUACCUGGAGAAUAAGCUCCGGCUAACUCCGUG